UCGGACACGACUCGAAGGCAUAAGAAAAGGCAAGGGCCCAAGUGGGUCAUUUGAUAUCCACAGGGCCCAUGUGGAUUAUUUGUCCCCGCCCCAAGCCCAGAUGGCCUAAAUGGAGGCUUCACUCUCUGCUGAGCCACUGGUCCAAGCUCUUCUCUGCUUCCUGAGGUGAGGGUGGUCCAUGCUGACAUUUGGGGAAGGGCAUCCUUAGCUGCUUUUGGGGGGUUGUGGAGCUGGAAUCAGGAGUGAAAAAUGGUGGUUCUCACACACCCGAAGACUGUCGAGGUCCGAGUGUCCAUCUGGCCAGACAGGAGGGGUUUGGGAGAUGGAGGGGUAUUGAGCUUGGAGAAUGGAAGGAGAGCGGGUGGUGCUGCCGCCUUGAGUUUUGAGGGCAGAGAGAGCACUUUCUAACUCCAUACAGGUGUCUCUAUUGUUUUCUUUCUCAGUGGAGAGAUUCCAGGGCAGAUGUUCUUUUCUUUUCUCCUCAUUUCCCAUCCCCAGGGGAGCCCCUGGAUGGCGAUGGCGAAUAACUCCCUUUGUUCUCUGUCCCAGAAGGAACCAUCACCCAGAAUCCCAACCCAGAGCUGCCAGGGAGGACGGCUCCUCUUGUCUUCCCAGCCCAGCAGUGAGCAGCUUGGGUGUGGAUGACUCGGGUACAUGGAACAUUUCCAGAUUUUGAAACAGAAACCCCUCUGUUGUUGUCAACUCCAUCAUCAGCAUGCGUGUUGUGUCCUCGGGUAGAUCUCCGUCCUGGCUGGCGGUCCACCAUCUGCACCUGUUUGGGAUGUCUCGGCGGAGAGAUCUCAGCGUCCUCCGUCCCGGGCGGCAGUCGAUGGUCCGCUCGGUUUGUGGCCGCUCAGCGGAGAGAUUUCCCAAGUCCAGGAAUUCAUCAGCCAGGACCAUUUGAGAAGCUUCAGCACUGCCCCACUCGUGUCAACUUGAGGCUCUUCUGCCCCUGUCAACAGAGGAAGUUUUGUUGGCCGCUUGUUGCGUCUCCCCACCGGAGGACUCUUUCCCUGCAGUGUGGGCACAGUGAGAUCCAUCUCCAGACUUUCCCUGUUGUGGACAGAUGGAGCCACAGACUGUACUGCCAUGAUGAGGUAACCAAGGCUCAGAAAAGUGAAGUGUCUUGUCCAAGAUCACACAGCAGAUGAAAGGUGGAGCCAGGAAUAGAACAAAGGGACCUGUCUUGGCCUGCCAGUGGUUGCUUCUGGGAAUCUAGCAUCCCGAGUCAGCCAGGAAGACUCUCGCUUCAGGGUCGUUGAGUCUCCUGGAGACAAUAUCAGUCGACUGAGAUGUGGUCCUCAGGUGCUGACAGAGGGUCAGGGUGAGAAACUCAAACCUUCACGAUCACCAAUCCAGAUGUCCCUGCCAAGGCUUCAGACGGGCAUCAGAUCGGACCGGCAGAGCAGCUCCAAUUACACCCCACCGAUGCUCCGGGGUCCUUUACCGUGGUACUGGAGGAGGCCUCAGCAGUAAAUUUCCCCAGUUCAGUUUCUAGCUGAAUCCCGGACCCUGCAGGAAGUCCCGCAUCCUCGAUGCAAGGCAGUGUACAAGUUGUGGUGGGAUCCAAUUCCAUUCAAUCGUAUUCACUGAGCUUUGAGACGUCGAUUCUCCAAGAGAAGUGAGCGUGCGGCGAUGUAGCUGUGGUUCUCAGCUCUGGACGGAGGGCAAAGUCAGAAAAACAAACCUUCAACAUCACUAGUGUGGCCGUCCUCCGCCGAGGAGCACCAUCAGACCCCUUAUGCCACGGAGGGCUGUUGUGGAGAAUCCAGGCACUAGGACCCCCUCAACCAUCUCCUAGUCAGAUAGAUGAGAGCGACGGCAUCCAAAGAAUCCACUAGGUCACGACCGACGACCCGCCGAUCGCUCGUUCCACCGGAUGCGGACCGGUCGGGGGUCUCCAUAUGAGGAGGAUCUUCACUGUGCAGCGUGGAUCCCGACUGGCUGGCUCCCUGGACCACUCAGGAAACAGAGACAAGAAAGAAGAGCAAACCACCAUUGCCCUGGGCAUGACGUUAAAUGGAAUCCACAUUUAUGAGGAGGUGGGGAGUGUUCAACAGAUGGUUUGUGACUCCCCCUGGUCCCACGUGGAGAAGCUGGCUUUCCUGGUGAGUUCUGGAACUGAGGGCUGAGGGCCAGCGGCCCAGGCUAGGACAGUAGCCGGGGGGGCUCGCUGAGUCCAUGGACCCUCUGCGCGUCCACUGGCCCACCUAGCCAUCAGUCAGCGGUUUUUGUGGUGCCCUCACUCUGGGCAGAGCGCCGUACCCCACCUAUGG